rnacentral:lncRNA from 1 species
AUUGCUACUGACAUGACUGGUCAAUCAAAGGGCUAUGGAUUUGUGCAGUAUGACACUGAGGAAGCUGCACAACAAGCCAUUGAGAAGCUGAAUGGCAUGCUUCUGAAUGACAAGCAAGUGUUUGUAGGCCCCUUCCUACGUAAGCAAGAAAGAGAAUUGGCUGUUGACAAGAGCAAAUUCACUAAUGUCUUUGUUAAGAACCUGUCUGAAUCAACAACAGAUGAUGACUUAAACAAAGCAUUCAGUGAAUACGGAACAAUCACAAGUGCAGUUGUGAUGAGGGAUGCAGAAGGCAACUCCAAAUGCUUUGGUUUUGUCAACUUUGAAAAUGCUGAAGAUGCUGCAAAAGCUGUAGAUGGUCUUAAUGGACAGAAGUUUGAUGAUAAAGAAUGGUAUGUUGGAAAAGCCCAGAAAAAGAAUGAAAGAGAACAGGAACUGAAACAACGAUUUGAACAGACAAUGAAGGAAGCUGUUGACAAAUCACAAGGGCUGAAUCUUUAUAUCAAGAAUCUUGAUGAUACCAUUUCUGAUGAAAGCCUCAAGGAGUUCUU